CUAGAUCAGAAGCGAGAAUGUUGACAUGAGUAGCGAUAAAGAGGGUGAGAGACCCUCUCGCCGUAAGUCCAAGGGUUCCUGCUUAAAGCUAAUCUGAGCAGGGUAAGCCGGCCCCUAAGGCGAGGCCGAAAGGCGUAGUCGAUGGGAACCACGUUAAUAUUCGUGGGCCAGGAGGAAGUGACGGAUCUCGAAGGUAGUUUGCCCUUAUCGGAUUGGGUGGGCUGCUCAGAGGUUCCAGGAAAUAGCCCUCCAUCAGACCGUACCCUAAACCGACACAGGUGGACUGGUAGAGUAUACCAAGGCGCUUGAGAGAACCACGUUAAAGGAACUCGGCAAAAUGCCUCCGUAAGUUCGCGAGAAGGAGGCCCCAUAUCUGGGCAACCAGGUGUGGGGGGCACAAACUAGGGGGUGGCGACUGUUUACUUAAAACACAGGGCUGUGCGAAGCCGUAAGGCGACGUAUACAGUCUGACGCCUGCCCGGUGCUGGAAGGUUAAAAGGAGGGGUGCAAGCUCUGAAUUGAAGCCCCAGUAAACGGCGGCCGUAACGAUAACGGUCCUAAGGUAGCGAAAUUCCUUGUCGGGUAAGUUCCGACCUGCACGAAUGGCGUAACGAUCUCCCCGCUGUCUCUAACGUGGACUCAGCGAAAUUGAACUGUGUGUCAAGAUGCACACUACCCGCGGUUAGACGGAAAGACCCCAUGCACCUUUACUCCAGCUUUGCACUGGUAUCAGGAUUGUGAUGUGCAGGAUAGGUGGUAGGCAUCGAAGCGGGGACGCCAGUUCUCGUGGAGCCUCCCUUGAGAUACCACCCUUCGCCAUCUUGAUAUCUAACCGCGGCCCGUUAUCCGGGUCCGGGACCCUGCAUGGUGGGGAGUUUGACUGGGGCGGUCGCCUCCCAAACAGUAACGGAGGCGCGCGAAGGUAGGCUCAGACCGGUCGGAAAUCGGUCGUUGAGUGCAAUGGCAGAAGCCUGCCUGACUGCAAGUCUGACAAGACGAGCAGACGAAAGUCGGCCAUAGUGAUCCGGUGGUCCCAAGUGGGAGGGCCAUCGCUCAACGGAUAAAAGGUACGCUGGGGAUAACAGGCUGAUGAUGCCCAAGAGUCCAUAUCGACGGCAUCGUUUGGCACCUCGAUGUCGGCUCAUCUCAUCCUGGGGCUGGAGCAGGUCCCAAGGGUAUGGCUGUUCGCCAUUUAAAGAGGUACGUGAGCUGGGUUUAGAACGUCGUGAGACAGUUCGGUCCCUAUCUGCCGUGGGUGUAGGAGACUUGAGAAGAGUUGCCCCUAGUACGAGAGGACCGGGGUGAACGAACCACUGGUGGACCAGUUGUCGUGCCAACGGCAGUGCUGGGUAGCUAUGUUCGGACAGGAUAACCGCUAAAGGCAUCUAAGCGGGAAGCCCCCUUCAAAACAAGGUCUCCCUUGAGAGCCGUGGAAGACCACCACGUCGAUAGGCCGGAGGUGUAAGUGCAGCAAUGCAUUCAGCUGACCGGUACUAAUUGCUC
rnacentral:rRNA from 1 species